ACGCUCGACACCUACGGGGGGCAGCAGUGGGGAAUAUUGCACAAUGGGGGAAACCCUGAUGCAGCAACGCCGCGUGAAGGAAGACGGUUUUCGGAUUGUAAACUUCUGUUCUUAGUGAAGAUAGUGACGGUAGCUAAGGAGCAAGCCACGGCUAACUACGUCNNNNCGCGUAUAUGNGCGGCGUGNGAGACG
rnacentral:rRNA from 1 species